rnacentral:misc_RNA from 1 species
GAUGAAGAACGUAGCGAAAUGCGAUAAGUAAUGUGAAUUGCAGAAUUCAGUGAAUCAUCGAAUCUUUGAACGCACAUUGCGCCCCCUGGUAUUCCGGGGGGCAUGCCUGUUCGAGCGUCAUUUCAUCACUCAAGCCUCGCUUGGUAUUGGGCAACGCGGUCCGCCGCGUGCCUCAAAUCGUCCGGCUGGGUCUUCUGUCCCCUAAGCGUUGUGGAAACUAUUCGCUAAAGGGUGUUCGGGAGGCUACGCCGUAAAACAACCCCAUUUCUAAGGUUGACCUCGGAUCAGGUAGGGAUACCCGCUGAACUUAAGCAUAUCAAUAAGCGGAGGA